GCCUUCGUAGUGUAGUGGUCAGCACGCUAGGAGCGUAUUCCAGAGGUCCGUGGUUCGAGUCCCAGCGAAGACG
rnacentral:tRNA from 1 species